GCCGCUUUCAACCAGAGGUUUAUUUUCCCUCUCCCCUUCGCAAUGAAAAUAAUAAAAAUAAACCUCUGGAACAAGUAACAUCAAUUUGGUGAGGAUUGGCUUCUUUUUGUCGAAAUUUUUGGUCUGCAAAGCAAUGUGUUCUAUUAAAAAUACAAAAUUUCAUGUCCGCGAAACAGCAUGGCGAAAUUGACAUAUCGAUCCGCGUUAUCUUUCGGGUUGGAUUUGUUUCUGUUCUCCAGGGUUUUAACACAGCCUAUUUACUAAUUGGCAAAGAACUGGGUUUUUUGGAUCGACUAUCACCAAAUUUUAAUUUGGAGGUGCCGCCAUUGUAGGCGCCUCUACGGUUGACUCUGGAUCGGUUUUGAACGGACAUAAACACUGACAUCGUGAUAUGCGUCACCAACAUUAUCAUCAGACACAGCACCAUGAACGCUGCCAUAAUCUUUUUCAGCAAAUUU